CCCUUCAUAUAUCUAACAACCAAAUCAAUAUCUCUUUUUGGAUAUUCUAUACCAAAUCAAUUGAUUCACAGAGACCCAGACAAAGUAAAGUUUCCCUGCAGGUUUUCCAAGGCUGCAAAUCUGUACAGAAGCAAACAGCCACAUCUCUCUCCUGCGGAAUAUCAGUGUGCUCCAGGAGAGGAAAUGGCAAUGCCACCCACCACCAGUUGCUUAAGCUGAAAACCUCCUAGUCGCCUGAAGUUCUCGGGGUUCUUGCUUCCUGAUGGUUGGACAAGGGUACAACUACCUUAGCCAGUUCUUGCUUCAGCUGGCAAGGUUCACUUCCUGCAAGACAUCCCUGAGGAGAAGCCACAUGGAC